rnacentral:lncRNA from 10 species
ACGCGACGGGUUCUGGUCCAAAAACCGCCUAAGUGCUCCGAUAACACCCAGGGACUCGCCUAUUUUUACAGCGCGUUUCUACUUCCAAGGUCUCGGCGUAAUCAUCUUAAUGAGCGUUACUGGUGGGGGGAAUCAGAUCCUGUUUGUAUGCUUAUGGAAUUAUCCAGAAGUAAAAGGGGUGAAUGAUGUAGAGGAGAAGGAAGGGAUAACUGUGCCAUCUUUGAAAAGGCAACUGGAAAUGGGAUCCAGAGUAAAGUGGAGAGAACCAGGGAAGAUUCCAUUAAACUGGACCAGAAGCUUGAAAGAAGAGAAGUGGCUUAGUAAACAAGGAACAAACUAGCUAAGUAGAAAGGGGACUUUUAAAAUUUAAUUUUUAUUUCAAUAGGCUUUUGGGAACAGGUGGUGUUGGAUUAUAUGAAUAAGUUCUUUAUUGGUGGUAUCUGAUAUUUUGGUGCACCCAUCACCUGAGCAGUAUACACUGUAAACCAAUGUGUAGUCUUUUAUUCCUCACCCCCACCCCCCGCCUUUCCCCUGAGUCCCCAAAGUCCACUGUAUCAUUCUUAUGCCUUUGUGUCCUCAUAGCGCAGCUCCCACUUAUGAGUGAGAACAUAAGCUGUUUGGUGUUUCCAUUCCUGAGUUACUUCACUUAGAAUAAUAGUCUCCAAUUCCAUCCAGGUUGCAGAAAUAAGAUAUGUGGAACGGAGUUAUGUAUCAAAACCCACUUUGAAG